GCGGGCAUCGCCAAGCGGUAAGGCAUCAGCUUCCCAAGCUGACACUCGCGGGUUCGAGUCCCGUUGCCCGCUCCA
rnacentral:tRNA from 1 species